UGAUAAUGUAAGAAUAACAAUAGGAUCAAGAACCUCAACUUCAAGUACUGUAAUGCAUGGAUUUAUCUUAGAAAUAUCUAAAGAGGGAAAUACAUCAACUAAGCAUGGCAGGCCUAUCUUCUCUCUGUUAAUGGGUUCAUCACUGCUUGCAUUUCUUCCAGUGUUCUUCCCUUAGUUUCAGGUACUAUCUUUGCAACAAACAGAACAGUCAAGCCAGAAACACUGGAGAAUAAGAAAAAUGUUCAAUCAAACCAAAAAACACCAAAA
rnacentral:misc_RNA from 1 species